rnacentral:rRNA from 1 species
AGCGAACGCUGGCGGCAGGCCUAACACAUGCAAGUCGAACGAACCUUUCGGGGUUAGUGGCGGACGGGUGAGUAACACGUGGGAACGUGCCUUUAGGUUCGGAAUAACUCAGGGAAACUUGUGCUAAUACCGAAUGUGCCCUUCGGGGGAAAGAUUUAUCGCCUUUAGAGCGGCCCGCGUCUGAUUAGCUAGUUGGUUGAGGUAAUGGCUCACCAAGGCGACGAUCAGUAGCUGGUCUGAGAGGAUGAUCAGCCACAUUGGGACUGAGACACGGCCGAAACUCCUACGGGAGGCAGCAGUGGGGAAUCUUGCGCAAUGGGCGAAAGCCUGACGCAGCCAUGCCGCGUGAAUGAUGAAGGUCUUAGGAUUGUAAAAUUCUUUCACCGGGGACGAUAAUGACGGUACCCGGAGAAGAAGCCCCGGCUAACUUCGUG